rnacentral:misc_RNA from 1 species
AUUGUACAACUAUAAGAUGGUAAGAGUCUCCAAAUAAUGGCGUCUGGUUCAAUUCUACAGAACAGAAUGGAAACCAAUAAGGAAUCAACCAACCUCAGAGAGCUGGCUUAUGUCAGACGAAGACCUGUAGAGGGACAUGGAACUAGAUCUAUACCUAGUAAAAUUGUUACUAGUAAAGCUCACUACCGCCAGAACUCUGCUUCAGCUAGUACACAAGACAACAAGAGUUUGGAUUUUAUUUACUACGACGAUGAGUCUGAGGAUGAAGAUGCUGUUGCAGCAACGGAGAACUCCUACGAUAUAUCCUGCAACUUCGUCGACUGUAUGAUGAAUAGGCAGCGAGGGGACCACAGGAAAUUUCAAACGAUGAAGCUGUCUAGUGAAUACGGUACUAGGCAUAUGCUUAGUAACUCUAUGCUUAAAGAACAUGAAAUUAAGAUUGGGAACAUGAACAAGGUGUUCUGUUCACAAUGGUUGAGCCAUAAACAGGUUAUCUUCGGAACAAAGUGUAAUAAGUUGGUUGUGAUGGAUGUGAGCACGAAGAAGAUUGAUCAUAUCCCCUCCCUGCAGUCCAGUGAGACCAGUGUUCCACCAGACCUGGAGAGAGGGAUUAAUAGUAUAGAGAUCAAUCCUAGCAGAACCUUACUUUCUACAGGAGCUAGUAAUAGUAACGAUGUUGCUGUUUAUAGACUACCCACCUUGGACCCUAUCUGUGUUGGACAAUUUGGACACAAGGAUUGGAUAUUUGACCAGACCUGGAUAGAUGAUCAGUUUCUAGUAUCAGGAUCUAGAGAUGGAUCAAUAUCUCUCUGGCGGGUCACGGAUCAGAUUAUUGAAGAGGUAACUGAAGCUGAUAUCCCCGUCCACCAGUACAUGUCCCCCCUCCUCACUAAGAAGUGCAAGCAGGCGGACAAGGUUCGGGCGCUCUGCUACAACGGAUGCGCGCAGGAAAUUGCUGUGAUAUCGCUCAACAGCUUUAUUCAUUGUUGGAAUGCUGUAACAAUGAAACAGAUAAUGUCCAAGAAGCUCCCCCACACAUUGGAGAACUGUUGUCUUACUACUGAUGAAGAAUAUCAACUUUAUGCAGUUGGAAGCAAAUCUCAUGCAGACCUUUUAGAUUCCAGAACUUUACAGUCUGUCCGUAAGAUCUCUAGUCGGAGUUCCGGAUGCGGAAUCAGAUCAGUUUCCUUCAAGGGGAAUAUACUGACUCUGGGAACAGGAACCGGAUUGCUCCUGUUCUGGGAUCUCAGAGCAUGCAAGUUUUUAGAAUCGACCAUGAACAGCAAUCGGGCAGUUCAGCUUAAAGCAGGCAGGGGCUGGGUGGAACGUAACGAUUCCUUCAUGGACGCAUAUCAGCCCAACAAGUAUACUCCAGCUAUCUAUACACAUUGUUACGAUGUAAGUGGUACUAGACUCUUUGCUGCAGGAGGACCUCUACAGAACCAACAGAUGGGAAACUACGUCGGGCUUUAUCAGUGAGAGAAAGAACAAGGGAAUUAGGAAACUUUGUGGAGUUAUUCAUUUGUUUUUUGCAUUCAUUACACGCGAUUUGUGCAUUCAUUACACUGUUUUGUGCAUUCAUUACACGUGUUUUGUGCAUUCAUUACACGUGUUUUGUGCAUUCAUUACACAUGUUUUGUGCAUUCAUAACACGUGUUUUGUGCAUUCAUUACACGCGUUUGUGCAUUCAUUACACUUGUUUUUGCAUUACCUACUCGUCUUCUGUUCUUUAAUUACAUGUUUUUGUGCAUUAAUUGUAAAAUGCCCAUGUUUGAUUUCGUGAUCAAAUUUGCGCUCUGACGACAAAGUUGGCUGAUAAAUUAUAAGUGGUUCUACUGUAUAUCUGACUGAAUCAAUCACAUGAAACCAGAUUAAAAUGGUUAAACCGAUUAAACAAAAACUAGACCAACAAAUUUUAGAAUUAGAAACAAAUUAAAGAACAUUAAAUGCCGUCACAUUACAAACACAAGAAGAAAAUCUUGAAAACUAAAUAUUCUAUUAAGAUUAAAUCGUUGCAAUAAAUAAAAAUCUAUUUUAUUUUGAAUUUGUAUAGAGAAGCAAUGUAAAAUUGUACACAAUGAUUUCUUGAUUCCAUUUUGUUUAGUUACAUUUGUGUAUUUAACCUAUUUUAUGAAUGUGCAAAAGAACUAAACUCUUGAAAAUUCUCUAAUUGACACCUGAUCUGGGUUUUACUGUAGAUCUUAAAGUGUUAAAAUAUAAAUGAAACAUUCUUUCUGACUCAUGAUUACUGCGACCCCCCUUCUUUAUUUUGCAUGCUAAAUCCCUAUUACAUUUAGAACAUCUUCCCCUCCCUCCCCCUCUUAUUUCUAGCUAAAAUUCUCUACAUCUGACUUUUUCAUUUCUGUCCCCUCCAAGAUUUAAAGUUACCCCCCUUGAUCCUUCUUCUAGUUUCAUCCCCCCCCCCCUUCCUCUCCGUAUUGUAGUUUGUAAGCCUGGUUCUAUGUUUGUUUUAACCUUUUAAUAUAUUAUAUAGUCCGUUGUAGACUUAAACAAGAUAAUUUAAUUAUUCUCAAACCAGUUUGGGUUACCAUGUAUUCAGUGAACAUAUUUUUUACCCUGUAAGUUUAAUAGUGUACAUAUUGUUAAUAUUCGGAAUAUGUAUUUGUUCUUAUUGCAACGAAUAAAUAAAUUUGUAGUUUU